GCGCUUCUUGCUGCCAACAUGUGAAGAAAGACGUGUUUGCUUCCCCUUCCACCAUGAUUGUAAGUUUCCUGAGUCCUCUCCAGCACAGUGGAACUGUAAAAUCAACAAGGAAGGCGAUGAGCACAGCAGUGUGAAGUCCAACUUCAAAGCACUGACACAUUUGGUGUCUGAUGAUGUCCGGCUUUCUCAUAGACGGCUACCUUCUUCUCACUGUUACCUCAUAUGGUGGAAGUCAGUUUUCAAGUUCUAUCACCAAGGAUUACUUAGGACUUCCUUGACCAGUCCUGCAGGCCAGUAAAAUCUGCAUUGACAACCUGGAUCAACUUAAGAAGAAAGUGAUCAGAGUUAGGAACACAUUCAGAACCAUAAGACAGCAAGAAUUCUUCAAAGAAACGAAUUGUUUGUCCUGGAGACAAGACUAUUUGUGUCAUUGUUUUCAAAUAUGUAAAUAAUUUUUAUGUAAAAAAAAGAAUUAUUAUUUUCAAAGAAACGAAUUAUUUGUCCUGGAGACAAGACUAUUUGUGUCAUUGUUUUCAAAUAUGUAAAUAAUUUUUAUGUAAAAAAAAAGAAUUAUUAUUUUUAAUGAAGUAAUAAGUGGCAGAAUUCAGACCUACUAAUGAAAAAUGCAUGCAGCAGAAUUUGGAACAACUGGAGAAAAGAACUUUGUAAUAGCCACAGAAAAAUACUGGUUGACUUGGGAGGUAGUGGGGUCUGGUAGAGGUGUUCACCUGUGGACUCAUUGGCCACAUGGUGGAGAUGUUGUAGAAGGUAUUCAGGUAUCACCACAGGGGAUGAGCUCUACGACCUUGACAGUCCCUUUGAACUCUGAGAUUUUGUAAGCCUACAAAUUCAUACUUAUUUGUAUCGAGUUUGUGCUGGCUGAGGACUGUUGCAGAGCAUAUUGCAGCUUUCAUAGAAAUUUAUAAGAAAUGAUCCUUGAUUUCAAACAAUAGAAUCACCAAUGUUACAGCUGAAAUAAAACUUAAGAGAGCACCUCACCUGACUCUCAUUGUAAAAAUGAGUGUGCUAAGGCCAAGAGAGUUCAAAUGGCCUUCACAAAAUCACUCAAAAGUUGUCACCAAGUCAGAGCUCAAAUUUUCAAAUGAGAGAUAAAAGAUAUAGGUUAUAUCUCCAAGGAACAUUUAGAGGAACACCUCCUUUUAAAAAGAAAGCUGCAAUGAAUAAUCUCUUCUCCUAUACUUUACUUAGUAGAUACAAAGUACACAGCUUUAAAAAAAAAACAAAAAACAACUAACCAAGUGAUCCAUAUUUAGCAAAAAGCAAGUAAGCAAGAAACAGAGUAUUCAACUAUGCAGCCUGCUCCUAAAUUUUGGAGACAAAUGGGCCUGAAAUAGUAAAUUAGUAAGAUUUUAGAAAAGCUGCAGGAAGAUAGUUCUUAACUUGAACUACUGCCCUGGGAGACAUCUGAUUGGAGAUUUGGGGCUUCUAAGGGAGUUGAGGAAGCCUAUUUCAGGUAAAAGUUGUCAUUCCUGGGCAAAAAGCAAAGGAAAAAAACAAAAUACUUCCCACUGUUGUAAUGCAGAGAAAGAUACCUGUGUUAGGGUUUCAGAUUGUGUAUGGAGUCAAGGAAACUUCUUACCCUUCAGCAUGUUUAUGGAUUUGUGAACAGCAAAAAAGGAAUUAAAGCAAUUAUAACAGAGUAAUUGAUGGUGGCAACUUUAAAGACCAGAAUACAUUGAGAAAUUAUACAUAUAGAGACAUAUAAAUCUGUGAUGUAGGAAAUGAGCAGUCUAACAUAGGUCCCUGGAUCUAGUGAGAUGUUCACAUCUCCUAACACUAAGCUCCAGACCUCCAGUGCUGUACACAGGAAUUCACACAGCAGAGGUUAUCACGUAAUUAACACUUGACAUGAAUGGAACCCUGCCACACAGAAAUGGCCAAGGCUUAUAUCCUGGGAAUCAUGAUGAAGGUCAGGGCCAGCUCUAGGCAAAACUCGACCACUCUCAUUGCAUUUCCUGCAUUACAACUAAAUUAUACAUUUUCACAUCUAUCUUUCAGGUGAUAAUGUGAAUAGCUCAAAGUCAGGAUCUAUUGAAAUCUAUCUCUUGUUUGCUGUGCAAAGCCCAGAACUUGCUAUAGGGUAGAUGUGCAAUGAAUUUUAGUUAAGCUGAAGCUAUACUGCAUUUCUCUGAUAUUCCCUAGUGCUAAGAAACUGUACGUUAAUCUGAAACUUUCUCUCACAAAUGAAUCUUGGCACUAGGAAUGUGUAUGUAAAUGUAGCAUGUUUAAGCUCAGGCAUAACUUUGGUAAUUUGUCUUUAGCAUCAAUAAGUCAAAUGGCUUAACUUCUCCAAAAUUCAAUUUCUUCGUCUAUAAGAUGGAGGUAAUUAUACUUACUUCUAGAUUUCUAAAAUUGUGGUGAUGGUAAAAAAAAUUCUAUAUGCAAGUUAUCUAGAACAAUGUUUGUCACAAAUAAGCAUUUAAUAAAUGAUGUCGGUGGCCAUUAUCAACAAAUUAUUCAUUUUUGUCUCUUUAUUAGGAUCUGAGAUAAGAAAUCACUUGUGUUAACUUUUAAGAUAUGAGAUCUGGGCCAGUUGGAUCCGCUGAGGAUUCAGGCAGGAUUCUCAUUCUCAGAGAGGACAUAGCUGUUAACUCUAGACCAGCACUUUAAUAAUACAUAUUCCUGUUAGAACCUGCUCACUGUAAAACAUCAUAGAAGAUAAUUAUGUUGUUUAAUUGAAUAUACCACCCGUUAACUUGGUGGGUAAUUUUCGCCAAGUGUAUAAUAUUUUCUGUCACUCCCUAUUUUUUUUACUUUAACUUAAUUUAGCCCAUGGCUUUAUACUGCUCCUACUUCAGAGCAGACUUUUCCCCAGUCUCUCUGUUCUGCUGAAUUGCAUCUUCACAUGUGUUCAAAAAGAAAGAACAAGAAAUGAGAAGACAAUGAUCAAGAUCCUUUCCAUCUUGUUGCCUCCAAGAGAUUUUUUAAAUUGAACACAUGAAAGGUUAUAUGACUAGUAAGGUGCUGUACAGAGGAGGAAAUAACUAGACAUAAGAAAAAUAUAAAGGCCCCUGGACUAAAAGAAUUCUAGACUGUAAACAGCCAGUUGUACUCUCUCCAAGUCUCCAGGCCUUUAUCUACUAAAGGAGGAGGUUGGGCUAUAAGGCCCUCUCAGGGGUUCCGGAGAACACCAGUAUUUUUCAUCUCUAUGAGCUUCCUCUUCCCUCCUCUACCACUUUGGGGCUUUGAGAUUUUAAGGUAUUAAUGGAGAAAAAGAAAACACUAAACAACAAAAGAUGAAUAGUAAAGCGCAACUUGAAUUUAGAAUCCAUCUUAUACCUAAUCUUUUGCUGCAAAUGCCUUCAGGACACUGAAUUUAAAAGCACUAAAACUUAGUUUAUAUGUUUUGCAUACUCAAUGGCCAAUGAUGGGAAAUUACUCAAGAUAUGAAUGGAACAAAAUUUUUAAACUUUUCUGGAAAUUUCUGUACUUUUUUGAGAUUGGGUAGUUUUGAAAAUCUUAAAUUCCGAUUAGAUAAAAAUAUGUAAUAUAAUUAAAUACUAUUAAAAAUAGUACAUUUUCAAAGUAGAAAAUUAAAAAGCAAAAAAGCUCAUGAACAAAGAAUAUAGUUUAUUCAUGGUUUCUUACUCAAAUCAGCUUGAUAUGAAUGAUAUACCAUUAUCAUUCCACAGUUUGCAAAGAAUUACAAGUUGAUGCUCUGAGAAGUGAUGGGAUGUGCAUUUGGUAUAACACAGGUACUUUGGAAUAGAGCUAGGAUAAAUCUCCGGGGUUAGAGUUUUUGAACAUAGGUUAUAAAAUCAAGUUAAGGUUUUUGCAAAUCUUGGAAAUGACCAAAUCAAAUCUUAAGUGAUUGAUUUGAGUUCACAUUUUUGUGCUAUUGAAUAACAACUACAGACAACACAGUGUUUGGAGAAAGAAAUGGUGUCAUGACAUCUUUGAAAAAAGGUAAAAGCAAAGAUAAAAACCUGUGUGAAUACUUGCAGUUGAGAAUGUGAAAUAAUAUGAUUUAGGGAUGAUUUACGGAAGUGAAAGUUUUUUUGACCAAAAAAAAAAAAAUUGGCCAAGAAUCAUGGAAAUGAAACCUCAUGUAAGAGUCGUGUUUGAUGAGUUGCCUUAAGAAAGUUCUCAGUGAACAUCUCUUUGAGUCAGCUUCUGGAUAAGUGAGUUGCACAAAAGCCUCUCUGACAUAGUGUGCUGCCAACCCUUGAGGAAUCUACAUUUGGGCAUUAUUUCUCUAUGAUAUAAAUUUUUAGUCAAUCAUGUUUGAGAAAUCAUCACUUAAAUUUUUUCCUUUCCUUAACAGAAAGCUCUGUCAGUGCUUUGAAAACAAAUAUGCUCUAUAAAUGUAAAAAUCAACACUAGCAUUACCAUUAUCACUAACAUUUUUUAUUUUCCAUCUAAAUGCAAUACUUCAUAUUUAUGGAUAACUUUCUUUCAAAAAUCUCCUGAGUUUGUCACUGUGCAAAUGGUACACAUUUGUUUAGAAAUUGGUAUAGGAAAAGUAAAAUACAAAAAAAAAAAAAAAAAAACCCAAAACUUCAAAAGAAUUUCAGAAAUAGCUCUUUCUGUAAUUUAUUUCAGAGAUGAUUGCUUUUAUUAAAAUUAUUUUUGAAGUUUGUAACUAAACUUUAAGAGGAGAAAGAUUUUUCAGUCUGUUUGUAUUAAUAUCAUGUCUCAUAGUGAUCAUUAACUUUUCUUCAAACUUAUAUGCCUUCACCAAAUAGUUACUGAUAGUUUGCCAAAAAAACAGAAGAGAAGAGACAUGAACUAAUAUGUAUUAAACAUGAACUACUUGAAAGGUAUUGUGAUGAAUAUUUUAUAUUCAUUGUUCGAUUAACUCCACCCAUUAUGAGCAAACUGAUGGUCCUCUAAGAGCUCAUGAAUGACUCAGAAAUAGUCACACAGCUUGUACAAGGUAGAGAUUGGGCUUCAACAAUUUCUGGAAAUGUUUCAGGAUUUCCCUUGGCCCUGACCCCUUCCUCUACCAAGUAAUAAUUUUUGAAAGCUGCGUAUGAGAGAGGUGGAGUUUUUGAAAACUCAGUGGUUCCAGGCAAAAUAACUGAGUGAAGUUCACGAGCUGAGAAGAAGCUUGCAACACUGUAGGAGCUAUCAGAAGGUUAGCACAGUCACAGGGACAGAUGUAAUUGAAACUUCAGGUGAGUUUAGAGCACAUGCGACCCUAUGGACCAUGGUAAAGGUUUUGGUCUUCAUAUUAAGAGAAUGGGAAACUUUUAAUGUUUCCUAUGAUUAUGACAUUAUCAUAUCAGUGACUUAAGAAGAUGGCUCUAGCCUGGCCAACAUAGUGAAACCCCGUCUCUACCAAAAUACAAAAAUUAGCCAGGUGUGGUGGUGCAGUCCUGUAGUCCCAACUACUCAGGAGGCUGAGGUAUGAGAAUAGCUCGAACCCAGUAAGCUGAGGUUGCAGUGAGGCAAGAUCAUGCCACAGCUCUCCAGCCUGGGCAUCAGAGCAAGACCCUGUUAAAAAAAAAAAAAAAAAAAAAAAAAAAAAAAAAAAAGAUAGCUCUGACUACUAAGUGGAGAAUAGGUGAAAGAAGGAAAGCCAUUCAAAUAGACGGCAGUGAGAGAAAUUUAAGGGAAAGAUGCUGGUGAUUUGGAUUUCACUAUUGGCUGCAGAGAAAGUAAGAAGCCGAGAGAUUCAAGAUGUAAGAAAAAUCAACGUGGUUCUGUGAUUGACUGGAUAGGGUAAAAUCAGGAGAAUGAUUUCAGCCAUGAUAUCAGGUUUCUAUCGUAAAAAUACAGACAGAAGUUGGAAUUAAUUAUGUAUUAUUGAUUAAAGUUAUUAAUCAUGCAUUUUUGAUUAAAACAAUUAUUUUAGCAUCUCAGUAAAUUAAAGAGGAUACACUGAAAAACUUUCUAAUCUAGAAAUGUUCAACUAGUCAAUCUAGACUGAAGAAUUUCCCAACAUAUAUGUGAUGUGCAUGUUCUCUGGAGAGAGCAUGCAUGUUCAUUCCUUCUAAAUCAAUGUCUACAUUGGUAAACUUAAAAUAUCAAAGAACAAAAAAUAAAUAAUUCAAUUCAGAAGCAGUUUUAGUUAAAUGUGGCUGAAUAAAUGCAUGCCCUUACCUGUGCCCUUUUUUGAAAUAAAGUCAUAAACUCCAAAGACAAAGAAAAUGGAAGAGAAACUAACAGAGAAAGCAAGGAUGAGGAGAAGAAAGUGGAAGAGGAGGAGAAGAAAGUGGAAGAGGAGGAGAAGGAAAGGAAGUAAUGAAGAAUGGAAGGGAGGAAAAAGGGAGGGAGGAAGAAAGAAAAGAGAAAGAGAAAGAAAUAAAGAGGAAAGAAAGAAGAAAAAGAAAGAAAGAGAAAGAAGAAAGAGAAAGAAAGAAGGACAGAAAGAAAGAAAAAAGAAAGAAAGAAAGAAAGAAAGAAAGAAAGAAAGAAAGAAAGAAAAGAAAGAAAGAAAAGGAAGGAAGGGUAAGGAAGGAAGGGAAAUAGAGAGGAAGGAAAGGAGGAAGGAAGGAAGAAGAAAGAAAGAGAAAGAAAAAAGAAAGAAAAAGAAAGAGAAAGAAAUGUAGGUGGGCAGGGAGGGAGGCAGGGAAGGAGGAAGGAAGGAAGGAAGGAACAAAGGAAAAGAAUUCAUGAUUGGGGGAAGAUUAAAAAUGAACGGAGAAAAUAGCAAAGCAGAGAAAUACCAUUCACAUGUACAGAGGAAAGCCAUAGACAAGCAAGAUAACAUGUAACAGUACCCGCAAAGUUCCAAAAAUUAGCAAUACCAUGUGCCAGCAAAUGUGAGAGUAAGUAAUGAUACUCCAAAUAAGGGGAUGUGUUAGACAACCAGUACAACUGUGGUCUUACUUCCAACAUCACGCAGUUCUUCUAUCCCAUUCUAGCAGAAAUUUCAUUCGGUAGAUUAAUUGAGACAGAGAGACCUCAGGGUCGAGUAUACUUGGCACAGCACAGGAAAUCAGGAGGAUUAACGACAAUAAAGAAAUUGAAUGAGGCCACUUUUAGCUCCCUUUCUUUGUUAGGCUCCAAAAACCUGGGUAAUCAAUAACUACUGUCACCACCACUGCAACCACCAUCACUUCCCAUCCUACAUCAUUCUCCAAGGUCCCCACCAUGUCUUCCUUAAGCAGGAGAUUGGUAGAGUGUUCACUAGAGAAAAGAAAUAACCCCUGAAAAUACACUUGUAAUUAUUUUUAUUUGAAGGCAUCUCAAUAAAUACAAUAAACUGGUCCCUACAAUGUCAUCUUAACCAAAAGUUUAUCAGUUAACAAAUCCAACCCGUCCACAUAGAGCUCAUAAGUUUUAUAGCACGUCAUUCUCAAAUAUAAAUGAACAGCCAAAUAGUAUCAAUAAAUUUAAAAUAUCUUCCAAUUUGAAAGUCAAAGGACAAAAUAAAUAGGAAGAAAGCAGCUUGGAGUAAAUAAAGACAAUACAGAUAACAGAAAAUGAAUAUCUUUAAAAAUACUAUAGCUAAUAUCCUCAGAUAGAAAACAGAAGAUAGUCUAUCAAUAAAACAAGAACAGGGUAUUAUACAACAGGAGCAAUUAGACAAUAAGAACUAUUUUAAAUUAAAAACAUGAUGCUUAAAAAGUCUCAACAUUAUAUUAAAAAUUAAAGUUGAAACAAUCUCCCAAAAAGUAAUACAAAAAGAUAAAAUAGAAAAUAAAAAAGAUACAGUUGCUUAACAAAUUUAAGAUAUUCAAAUUAUUAGAGUUUUAGAAGAAGAAAACAGAGAACAGAAAAUUAUACAAAAGAAAAUGAAUUAAGAAAAUAUCUCAGAAUUGAAGGACGAGUGUCUCUGAAGUGCCAAGGAAAAUAAGUCAAAAAAGAUGCACAUCAAAGUAUAUCACCAUAUAAGCUCAAAAUACGAGUGUAAAGAGAAAAAUUCUAAAAUUUUGAGGAUAAUGUAGAAAGUUCCACAUUGAAAAAAUAAAGUAAUGGCAUUGGACUUCUCAAAAGCAACACUAGAAGCUAGAAUGCAAUAGAUGAAUGCUUUUAAAAUUCUGUAGAAAAUAAUUUUCAACCUGUAAUUAUUUACUUGGUAAAAUGAAAGUUAAAUAUAGGCCCUGAAUAAAAAUGCAAGGUUACAAACCAUGGACACCAUAUGCAAGCUCACAAAAUUAUCCAAAAAUAGAUGAUGCAACCUCUGAUUAAGAUAAGGGUAAGUCUCAGGAUGGCAGCUGUGUGGCAGACCUAUGAAAUAGCCUUUCUAGAGUGGCAUGGUAAAAAGAGGGAUACUCUGGAAAAAGAUCUCAAAGAAAAUGGAAGGCAUGGGAUAAUUGAUAUGCUUGAAUGUAAGAAACAUUUUACAUAGAAAGGCUUUAUAUUACUUUGAAGGGCUUGGGAAAAAUAUUGAUAAAAGAAACAUAAAAGCCAAACAAUAAACAAAAAAAUAACUGCAGAGAGAAAAUUUACCCAAAAGUAAACAUUGUGUAUAAUUUUGAAUUACUAUUAAAAAUACGUAUUUUUAAAAUCCAAACACCAAAUAGCAAUUUAACUAAAAUUAUUAUAAUGAUAAUAGAAGUAGAUAAGGGAAUUAGAUAAAAAUUACAAAUCAUUUUCACCAAUCCACAAAAUCGAUAAAAAAUAUACAAAAUUGAUAAAUCAAGAAAUUGUUUUGAAAGCAAAAUAUUUAGUAUGAAUUAAACUGUCAGGAAGACACAAAUGUAAGUGAGUAGAGGAAUUUGACAGUGAAGCAUAUGGCAUAGAAUAUGUUUUUUAAAUUAUAGUCUUAUACUUUGAUUUUAUUUAUUAAAAUGUAAAAUGUUGGGCCAGGCGCGGUGGCUCACGCCUGUAAUCUCCGCACUUUGAGAGGCCGAGGCGGGUAGAUCAUGAGGUCAGGAGUUUGAGACCAGCCUGGCCAACAUAGUGAAGCCUCAUCUCUACUAAAAAUACAAAAAUUAGCUGGGCAUGGUGGCAGGUGCUUUUAAUCCCAGCUACUCAGGAGGCUGAGGCAGGAGAAUAAUUUGAACCCAGGAGGUGGGGGUUGCAGUGAGCCAAGAUUGUGCCACUGCACUCCAGCCUGGGUGACAGGGCAAGACUCUGUCUCAAAAAAAUAAAAGAAAAAAAAAGUGUUUUAGAUAUAUACAAAUAUAAAAAGUAAUUUAUUAAAAAUGUCGGGGAAAAUAGUUGGGAAAUCCUCUUGUAGUUAAAACGAAUUUAGUUUUACUAACUAUGCUUAGAAUUUGAUUAAUAAAUGUAUUUGCAAUAUCAAAAUGAUCUUUAUAUUUCUUCUUGCAUUUUACUCAUCAAAUGCAGAAUAUACUGACAUAAUGGAUAACUGUAGGAAGCUAACUUUCUGAAAUGAGGCCUAAUUGAGCUGUUUUUCAUGUAAAAUAAGGGUCGUGAUUUUGUCUCAAAUCAAGCAUUAUCAACAAUUAUCUAGACUUUUCUUGAGCAGUCUUUCUGCCAUAAGCAAAUAGCAAAGCAUCAAUAACAAAAUACUGUAUUUGACACUGGAUCAGAUAAUAGUCACAGCAUUAUAAAUAAGAAGUUUAAAUAUGUGCUUAUAAAGUAUCCUUUUAUUAAUUGAGGAAAUAUUUGUUUGAUUAUUUGUCUGUGAUAAAAUUGAAGCUUGAGUUGGAUGAACAUAAUCUUAAUGGUUGUAAUAAUAGUCAAUAAAUUAUUUCAACUAUUUUAUAAACCUUUUUAUUCAAUGUACAGACAACCCUAACUAAUAAUAACAAAAUAACAAUGACAACAAAGUAAUAAUAACAGAUAACCUUACAGAAACAAAGCUGACAGCCAAACUGGAUGAAGUGAUAAAGAUCACUGGGAAUUAAUAAUUUUGAUUUAACUAGUAUUUAUUGAGCACACAAUAUGUACCAACAGCCAUAUUUGGUACUUUGCAAACAUUAUCUCAUUAAGUCUUCAAUUUAUUGAUGAGAAAUCCAAGAUCACAGAAGCUAGGUAAUUUUCCCAAAAAUUAUACAACUAAAAGAAAUUAUAGAACCAGGGUUCAAACUUGGCUCAGUCUAAAUCUAAAACUCAUUCCUUUCUACUGUCAGAAAAAGUUUUUUAAUUGAAGGCUUCAGAAGGAUUGCUUUUGAGAAGAAACAUGAGAUGUUGUGACUAUUUCUAAAAGAAAGGAAUGAAUGUUAACAGAGGUUUAUAAAAGCAAAAUUAUUUUGGUUGUGGCUCCCCAAGCAAUGAGUCAAUUAUGCACAUACUGAGUUAAAGAAGAAGGAGAAGAAAAUAGAAGACGACCAUGAUCUCUGAUUAGAUAUUUGGUUAGCUUGAUAGAAAAUGAGUACUGAAAUAAAGUAGAGAUGGAGAUGAAGAUCAAAUAUACAAAACAAAGUUGGAGCAGGGAAAAAAUAGAAUGAGAGAAGAUAAAAAAUAGGAGAGAAAGAAUAAAAUGAGAAGAUAAGAGAAGAGAGGAAGGAAGGAAGAGACAAGGAAAGAAAAGUAAAUAGAAAAAGGAAAGGAAAGAGAAGAAAGGAGGAGGGAAAGGAAGUGAGAAAGGAGGAAAAAAAAAUCAAUAUCCCUCUUUGUAAUAAAUACGCUGUGAAAUCACUUACGGAAAAAUUGAGUAGAUGUAAUUUUCCCUAUUCUCCCUGCUAAGUAAAACAAAAAACUCUGUGUAUUAUACAUAAAACCAUAAUAAGAAUACUCUGACAGGUAGAGUCAAGGCAGACAAGCUAGGGAGCAAGGAAUGAUAUGGUGAUGAGUUUCCUGAAUUUUGUUUUUGCUUUACAUUUCCCAGAUUAGAACUGAAGACGUCAGCAACCCAAAAAUGUCAAUGGGCACAGAUUAAAUAAUUAUUAUUAAUAAUAAAUAAAUAAUUAAAUCUGUUCUCUUGAGUGAAAAAAGCAGGAAAGGAGCCAUCUAGCAAGUCAGAAAUAUUGUACAUAGUAAAUUUACUAUUCUAGCCAAACACCAAACACCACAGUAUAUGUUGUGGCUUUAUCCUUACACAUGACAACAAAGGCUGAAUGGGGAACUCAACUUUCACCCUUAUCUGGCAUUAACAAGGUAUUCUAACCUCCCCACUGUGAUGGUUUCAGAGAAGGCUGUGUAGGGAGUCUAUGCUUCCAUUCCCACCUGACAAUAAUGCAGCACCACUACACUCCUUCCUGGAUUUAUGCCAGAGGAAUCCCAGUAGAGAGUCAGAACUUUUACUACUGCCCAAGAAUAACAAAGCUAAAACCCUUGUGGUGUUGAUGGUAGAAGACGGGUUGAUGUUGAACACAUCUUCUUUAGAACUUUUACUACUGUCCAACAGUAACAAGGCUAAAACCCUAAAUGGUGUUGAUGGGAAGAAAAGAUCCUGAAUCAUUAUUGCCAGAUGAAAGUAGAUGUUCAGAUUCCCUUGUUAGCCUUUGUUGACACUCAAGGGAGGAGGCUCUUUGUUAAUGCUGCAGAUAGUGGAAGUUUUGGCUUCUCACUAGGUCUACACUGAUAUCUCCCAGACCAAGAGGGGUAGGAGUACAUCAGUGGAGACCCCGUGAGGAGCCAAGACUUCCACUAUACCCAGUGUUAACAAACAGCCUCCUCCCUUGGGUGUCAACAGAGGCGAAGAAGGAAUCUUGACAUCUACUUUCAUCUGACAAUAAUGAUGCAGCAUCUCUUCUUCCCCUGCUAAAGUACUAUCAAAAUAAUUUAGCUAAAAUAUAAGAUUUACAUAAUAUCCAGAAUCUUAUAACAUAAUACUGAAGAUGUCCUAGGUUUGAAAAAUAAGUAAUUUGUCACAGCAAAAACCAGGAAGAUCUCAAACUAAAUAAAAAAGUCUCUAAUUAAUGUGAAGACUAAGGUGAAAAAGAUAUUAGCUUAUCUAAAAAAAUUUAAAGCUGACAUCAGAAAAAUGUUCUAACCAGCAAUUACAAAGGUGCUUAAAACAAACAGAAAAACAGAAAGUCCCAACAAUAAAAUAAAAAAUCUCUGACAGGAAAUCGAAGACAUUAAGGAGAAACAAACAAAAAGGGUAAGCUUAAAAAUAUAAUAACCAAGUUAAAAAUCUCAAUGAAUGGCUCAACAUCAGAAUGGAGGGAAAGGAAAGAAUCAUUGAACUGGAAGAUAGGAUAACAAAAUUGCCCAUUCCAAACAUACACUGUUCCAGAAAAUAGACUGGAGAAAAUAACAGAGCCUCAGAAACACAUUGAACUAUUUUUUGAAAUGCUAAAAAAGGGGCUAAAAAUUUCCCAAAUUUGAGAAAAUACAUAAAUAGAGAGAUUCAAGAAACUGAAUGGAUUUCAAACAGAAUAAAUCUAAAGAAAUCCACAUCAAAAUACAUAAUAGUCAAAAUUCUAAAAACUAAAAUUAGAAAUCUUGAAAGAAGUGAAAUAAAACACCUUACCUAUAGGGAAAAACACUUCUAAUAAUAACAGAUUACUCAUUAGAAACUAUAGUGGUCAGGAGAAAGUGACAAUAAUUUUCAAGUAUAAAUAUUCCUUGACUUAUGACGGGUUUACAUACUGAUGAACCCAUAAUAUUUUGAAAAUAUGCCAAAAAUGCAUUUAAUACACCUAACCUGCUGAACAUCAGGAAGCUUAGCCCAGUCUUCCUAAAAUAUAUUCAAAAACUUACAUUAGCUUAUAGUUGGGCAAAAUUAUCUAACAAAAAGCCUAUUUUAUUGUGUUGAAUAACUAUUGUAAUUUAUGGAGUAUAGUACUAAAAGUGAAAAACAGAAUGGUUCUAUGGGUACUGAAAGUGCAGUUUUUACUGAAUGAGUAUUUCUUUUGUACCAUAGCAAAGUUAAAAAGUUAUAAGUUGAACUACCAUAAGUUCAGGACCAUCUCUUUAAAAAAGAAACAAAACAACAAUAACAAAACAAAAAACAAACAAACGAAAAAACCCUGCCAACUUAUAAUCCUAUAUGCAGUAAUAAUAUACUUCCAUAAUGAAGAAAAAAUCAACAUAUCCUCAUAUGAACAAAAACUAUCAGAAUUUGUCACUAGGAGACCUACCCUAAGAAAUUAGGUAAAUGAACUUCCCUGAACAGAAAUGAAACAAUAAAAGGAACCUAAGAACAUCAGUAAAGAAAAACAAACAGACAAACAGAGUAAGCAAAAAUAUGGGUAAUUUUCUCUUCCCUUGAGAUUUUGAAAUUAUGUUUGAUGAUGGAAGCAAAAGUUGUAAUACUGUUUGAUGUGGUUCUAAAUGCAUGUAGCAAAAAUAUUUAAGACAAUUAUAAACAGGAAGGUAAAGAUUGUAAAAAGAGGUAAAUUUUCUAUACUUCACUCAAACUGGUAAAAUGAUGACACCAGUAAUGUGUAUGUGUGUGUGUGUGUGUGUGUGUACAUGUAUUCAAAAUGUAUUUAACAUGCCUAACCUAUUGAACAUCUACAGUUAUAACUACCUAGAGUUAUGACAUAUAACAACUAGAUCAACAAUUAAAAAUAGCUAUACAAGUAGAUACACUCAAAAUGCAAUAGAUAAAUUAAAAUUGAAUUUUAAAAUACGUUCAAGUAACCCACAAAAAGGGAAAAAGCCAGUGCAGUGAAAAACAAUAACAAAGAGUAAAUAAAAAAUGAAAUGAAAUAUUAUAAGUGUUAUAAAAUGAAAUAAAAAAUUACUCUUUUAAGUCCUAACAUAUUAAUAAUUACAUUAAAUUCAACCAAUUAAAAGACAGAAAUACCAAGAGGAUUAAAAACAUGGGUUAACUAUAUGCUAUCUACAACUCUUUUCAAAUAUGACAUUGUUGGAAAAUUGAAAGUUAAUAAAAAAUAUAUAAUGAAAACACUAAGCAAAAGAAAACAGGAGUGACUAAGUUAAUAUCAGAUAGAUUAUAUUUUAGAGCAAAGGAAAUUAUAAGAGAUAAGGAGAGAUAUUAUAUAAUGACAAAAAGAUUACUCCACAGAAAAGAUACAGCAUUUCUUAAGGUGUAUGCAUCAAAAUAUAUAACUGCAAAAUAAAGAAAGAAAAAUUUUAUAGAACUCCAAAGAGAAAUAGACAAAUCCAUAAUUAUAUUUUGUAACUUCAACAUCCAUUUCUCAAAAAUUGAUGGAACAACUAUACUAAUAAUCAGCAAGGAUAUACAGGAACUCAAAUCACCAUCUACCACCAGGAUCUAGUUAACAUUUAUAGAACACUCCACCCAGUAUCAGCAAAAUACACAUUAUUUUCAAAUGGCCAUAGAGCAUAUUCCUUGAGACAUGAUAUCCAGAAACAUUUAAAAACAUAAAAUUAAAACUAACGCAUUUUAAAAAUUGAAAAUAGUUGUUCUCAGACAAAAAUGGAAGGGAACUAAAAAUUCAUAAUAAAAUGAUACCAGAAAAAUUUCCAAACAUUUGUAAAAUUUCCAAACUGUAUACUUCUAAAUAGCAGGUAAUAAGGAAAUCUCAUGGGAAAUUAAAUAAAAAUAUAUUGAACAUGAAAAUGAACCUUAUGAACAUAAAAAUUCCACUCUGUUUCCAAUACCACUUUCAUGUUUGAUGAUUAACUAGAAUAACUCACAGAAUACAGAAAAGCUAUUGUACUCACCCUUAUAGUUUAUAUCAGAAAAAAAUAGAUGAAAAAUAGCAAAAGGAAAAACACACAUGGGUAAAAUCCAAGAGAAAUUAGAUGUAAGUUUCCGGGUGUCUCCUCCUACUGGCAUUACACAGGGUUGUACUUAAUUCUCCUACUAAUGAUGUGCAUAACACAGAUGGAGUAUUGCCUACCAGGUAAGCUUUCCUGAGUCUUGGCAUCAGGGGGCUUGCAGAGAGGUGGUCAGUUACAUAGGCAUGUAGCACCUAAGCAACUGACCUCAGUUAUUAAGUCUCCUGCCCUCUAGACGUCAAACUGACAUAGCCUGACUGAGAGUCUCAGACAUAUAAAAACUGACAUUUACCAUAAAUCACAUUGCUAGCAUACACUAUCAGGAUUCAACAGAGAUCUAUAACAUGGGCCAAGAUCUCAGAGACCCAUAGUAUAAGCCAAGAUCUCAGGCAUACACAAACACUCUUAUUAGAUAGAAUAUUCUAAGGGAUAAAAAGUUAUCUCCCAGGAGCCAUUCAAGACCAGAUCCUUCUUUGGAAUGUGUAGCGUUUGACAACACAGGUCUGCUAAGCUAAUCUUUUACUGCACAACAACAUAUUACAAUUUGUGGGACACAGCUAAAGUGUUGCUGAGAGAGAAAAUUACAUCACAAAAUGCAUUUGAAGUGUUGCAAAGAAAAGAACAAAAGUUUCAAAUCAAAAGCCUAAAGUAUUAUUUCAAGAACCUAGAGAAAGGAUAGCAAAAUAAAUCCAAAAUAAGGGAAUCAGAGUCAUGACUGGGUGUGAAGCAGGCAAAAAAAUCACUGCAGGAGGUAGUUCUGAUUGGUCCAUUCUUGCUGCAGUUUCUGAUUCUCUGCAGAGCAACAGCCAUGGCCCCUGUCUGCACCAUCACCUCUGCCUUCAUUGUUAUUGGAGGUUGAGCUGUCUGGACUCUGGCAUCACUGCUGAGGAAUGAGGAAAGGAGAAUAGACUCUGUGAUCCACCUUGGCCUAGGGCCUUGCCUUGGAGCUGUGAGGAAAAAUAUUCUCCCCUACAAAAGCAACUUCAAAAAAUUGGAACAAGUGACUGCUACAACAGAUAUGCAGAUAUCAAUGGAGGACACAGAAAACAUGAAAGAGCAGAGAAAUAUGACACUACCAAUGGGCAACAAUUGUCUGGCAACAGAUCCCAGUAAAAAAUAAUUUCACAAAAUUCCAGAUAAAGAAUUCAAAAUAUUGGCUUUGAAUGAAAUGAGAAGCUGAAUAAGAUGAAACAAAAAUCUGAAAAUCGAUACAAAGAAAGCAGAAAAUCAAUUAAGAAAAUGAAUGUAAAAUUUACCAAGGUGAUAAAUAUCUUUUAAAAAAAGCAGAAAUGCUGGAGCUAAAAAUUCAAUGAAGGAAAUACUAAAUACAUUAAACACCUCAAUAAUAGACUAGACCAAGCAGAAGAAAGUCUUUCAGAACUUGACAUGGCUUUUGAAAUAAUUCAGUGUGACAAAGAUAAGAAAACAUAAAUAAAAAAGAAUAAACAAAGCCUUUGAGAUACCUCAGAUAACAUAAAGUGACCACACUUACCAAUUAUUGGUAUUCCCAAGAGGAAAGACAGAUCAAAAAGUUUAGAAAGCCUAUUUAAGGAACUAAUCAAUGAAAACAUUUCAAGUCUAGCAAGACAAUUAAACAUCCAGGUACAGGAGGCUCAGAGAGCCUCAGGCAAAUGUAUUACAAAAAGGACUUCAUCACAGCAUGUUAUAUUUAGAAUGUCUAAUGUCAAAAUGAAAUAAUUUUAAAAUUAGCGAGAUAAAAAUACCUAGUCGCCUAUAAGGGAGACUACCUUAGAUUAAUAGUAGACUUUUCAUCAGAAACCUAAGAAGCCAGAAGCAAACAGGAUGACAUUUUCAAAGCAUUGAAAGGAAAACAGUGUCAGCCAAGAAUUUUAUAUCCUGCCAGAGCAAGCUUCAUAAGUAAAGAAGAAAUAAGAUAUUUCCUCAAUAAGCAAACACUGAGGGAAUUUGUCACCACUAGACUAGCCCUACAAGAAAUACUCAAAGAGGUCUUAAACAUUAAAAACAAAGAUCUGUAGUUACCAUCACAAAAAUACAUGGAAAUAUAAAACUUACACUUCUUACAAAACAAUCACAUGAAGAAGGAAGAGACAGGAAUCAAAUGUCAACACAACAGAAUUUCAUUAAACCACAAAGACAAAAAGAAAAAGAAAAAAAUUAUACAACUUAUAAACAAUUAACAAUAUGACAGGAACAAAGCUUCACAUCUCAGUAUUAAUCUUGAGUGUAAAUGAGUUAAAAUGUACCACUUAAAAUAUAGAAAUUGGCAGAAUGGAUUUUUAAAAAGCAUGAUGCAUCUAUAUACUGCCUACAAGAAACUCACCUUACUCAAAAAGACACAUAUAGACUGAAAGUAAAGACAUUAAAAAAGAUAUUCCAUGCAAUUUGAAGCAAAAGGCCAUGAGGAUUAGCUACACUUAUUUUAGAUAAAGCAGACUUUAAAUCAAAAUCAAUAAAAAGUGACAAGAAAGAUUAUUACAUAAUGAUAAAGGGAUCAAUUCAGUGAGAAGAUAUAACAUUCUAAAUAUAUGCACCCAACAUCAGAGCACCCAAAUUUACAAAACAAAUAUUACCAGACAUAAAGAAAGAAUUAGAGAGCAAUAUAUUUAUAGUGGGAGACUUCAACACCCCACUCAGAGUAGUAGACAGAUUGAGACAGAAAAUUAAUAAAGAAACUUAGAACUUAAAUUAGACUUUAGGCCAUGUACACUUAAUGGUCAUUUACAGAACAUUCUACUCAAUGAAUGCAGAAUAUACUUUUUUUAAUCAGCAGAUGAAACAUUUUCCAUUUUCAUACCACAUAUUAGGGCAUAAAGCAAGUCAACAUAUUUUUUCAAUUUAUAUUAUGUCAAGUAUCUUCUCAGACUACAGUGGAAUAAAACUAGAAAUCAAUACCAAGAACUUCAGAAACUACACAAAUACAUGGAAAUUAAACAGCAUGUUCCUGAACAAUCAUUGAGUUAAUGAAGAAAUUAAGAUAUAAAUUUUAAAAAUUUUUAAAUAAAUGAAAAUCAUGCACAACAUACAAAAACCUAUGUGAUACAGCAAAAGCAGUGUUCAGAGGGAAUUUUAUAGCAUUAAAUGCUUACAUCAAAAAAGUGGAAAUAUCACAAGUUAGCUAUCUAAUGUUAUACCUCAACGAACUAGAAAAACCAGAAAAGUCAAAGCCAAAGUUAUUAGGAAAAAAGAACUAACAAAGAUCAGAGCAGAAUAAAAUAGAGACCAAAAAAAUUACUAAAGAUCAACAAAACAAAAGGUUGGUUCUUUGAAAAGGUAAACAAAUUGAUAAACCACUAACUAAACUAAAGAGAAGACUCAACUAUGAUCAGAAAUGAAAAACAGAAACAUUACAAAUGAUACCACAGAAAUAUAAAAGAUCAUCAGAAACUAUUAUGAACAACUAUAUGCUCACAAAUCAGAAAACCUAGAGAAAAAUAGAUAAAUUCCUGGAAACAUGCAAUCUGCUGAGAUUGAACCAGGAAGAAAGACAACUCCUGAACAGGCUAAUGAUGAGUAGCAAGAAUUAAUCAGAAAAAAAAAGCCCAGGACAAGAUGGAUUCUACCACAAAUACAAAGAAGGGCUAAUACCCAUCAUCCUGAAACUAUUCCAACAAGUUGAGGAGGAGAGAAAUUUUCCUAACUCAUUCUACAAGGCCAAAUAUCCAUGAUGAAAAUAGACACAAAUAUCCUCAACAGAAUAUUAGCAAAUCAAUGGCUGGGUGUGGUGGCUCAGACCUAUAACCCCAGUACUUUGGGAGGCUUAGGCUAGAGGAACAUUUAAAGCUAGAAGUUUGAGACCAGCCUGGGCAGUAUAGCAGGACCCCAUCUCUACAAAAAAUUAAAAUAAAGAAAAUAAAUUAGUCAGGCAUGCUGGAACAUGCAUAUAGUCCUAGCUACUUGGAAGGCUGAAAUGGGAAGAUAAAUUGAGCCCAGGAGUUCAGGGAUGCAGUGAGACAUGACCAUGCCACCGCACUUCAGCCUGGGUGACAGAGACAGACCCUGUCUCAAAGAAAAAAAAAAAAAAAAACUAGCAAAUUAAAUGUAACAGUGCAUUGAAAUUGAAAAAUAAUAAAUACAUUAUGGUGAGGCUGAAUUUAUCCCAGGGAGGUGAGGAUGAGUCAACAUAUAUAAAUCAAUAAAUGUGAUAUAUCACAUAAACAGAAUUAAGGACAAAAACUAUAUUAUCACCUCAAUAGAUGCAGAAAAAGUAACUGACAGAAUUCAGCAUAUUUUAUGAUGGAAAAUUCUCAACUAUGAAUAGAAGGAACAUACCUCAACAUAAUAAAGGCCAUAUAUGACAAAUAUGACAAACCCACAGCCAACAUUAUAGUUAACAGAGAAAAGUUGAAAGCGUUCCCUCUAAGAACUGGAACAAGGCAAGGAUGACCACUUUCACCACUCUUAUUCAACAUAGUACUAGAAGUCCUUAUCAGAGCAAUCAGGCAAGUGAAAAUAAAAAUUAAAGGCAUCCAGAUUGGAGAAGAGAAAGUCAAAUUAUGCCUGUUGGCCAAUGAUAUAAUCUUACGUCUAGAAAGCUCUAAUGAUGCCACCACAAACCUCUUAUAUUUGAUAAAUGAAUUCAAUAACAUUUCAGGAUACAAAAUUAAUGUACUGAAAUCAGUAGUGAUUCUAUACACAAAUAAUUCUCUAGCUGAGCACCAAAUCAAGAAGGCAAUCACAUUUACAAUAGCUAUAAAAAUGUCUAGGAAUAUAUUAAACCAGGGAGAUGAAAGAUCUUUAUAAGAAUUACAAAACACUGAUGAAAGAAAUUGUAGAUGAUGGAAAAACAUCCUAUGCUGAUAUGGUUUGUUUGCGUGCCUACCCAAAUCUUACCUUGAAUUGUAGCUCCCAUAAUCCCCACAUGUCAAGGGAGGGACCUGGGGCAAGGUAAUUGAAUCAUGGGGGCAGGUUUUUGCUGUGCUGUUCUCGUUAUAGUAAGUCUCAUGAGAUCUGAUGGUUUUAUAAAGGGCAGUUCCCCUGCACAUGUGCUCCUGCCUGAUGCCAUGUAAGACGUGCCUUUACUCCUCCUUUACCUUCCGCCAUGUUUAUGAGGUCUCCCCAGCCAUGUGGAACUGUGAGUCCAUUAAAGCUCUUUUUCUCUAUAAAUUACCCAGUCUCAAGUGUGUCUUUAUUAGCAGCAUGAGAACUGACUGAUAUACAUGAUCAUGGAUUGGAAGAAUCAUUAUUAAAAUGACCAUACUGUGAUAUGGUACACAUGUGUAAUAUUUGGAAUAGAUAUGGUAUAGUAUUACAGGUAUAAUGUAGGAAAGCACAUUAUCUUGUAUAAUCAGACUCUUCUAGCUAAUCCAUAUGCUUAUAUUUAAUUGUGAUGUUUCACUUGACAUAGCACUUUACUGAUUACACCAGUUUUUACAUAUCAUUAAAUGAGCCAGAUUAUAUGAAUUCAUUUGGAAAGCCUCAAGUGCCACCGAAAGGCAAAACACUUGAUGGGUUAUUAACAGUUAUUGAGCACUAGUUUUUUGCCAGGUAUUCUGUGUGACAUGUGUAGGUAAAGGACAUGAUCACUGCCUUGGAGGACCUCAGAGAAAACAAUUUAAAUAGUGCAGUAAAUGCUGCAAAGAGGGAAGCACAAGAUGAUAUGGAACCACAAACAACAACCACCUAGCCUAGACUUUGUGAGAAUAUGUAGAGCUGCCUACCAGUGGUGACAUCCAAACUCAGAUCUUAAAGAAA
rnacentral:lncRNA from 1 species